rnacentral:rRNA from 1 species
GAUGAACGCUGGCGGCGUGCCUAAUACAUGCAAGUCGAGCGAACGGACGAGAAGCUUGCUUCUCUGAUGUUAGCGGCGGACGGGUGAGUAACACGUGGAUAACCUACCUAUAAGACUGGGAUAACUUCGGGAAACCGGAGCUAAUACCGGAUAAUAUUUUGAACCGCAUGGUUCAAAAGUGAAAGACGGUCUUGCUGUCACUUAUAGAUGGAUCCGCGCUGCAUUAGCUAGUUGGUAAGGUAACGGCUUACCAAGGCAACGAUGCAUAGCCGACCUGAGAGGGUGAUCGGCCACACUGGAACUGAGACACGGUCUAGACUCCUACGGGAGGCAGCAGUAGGGAAUCUUCCGCAAUGGGCGAAAGCCUGACGGAGCAACGCCGCGUGAGUGAUGAAGGUCUUCGGAUCGUAAAACUCUGUUAUUAGGGAAGAACAUAUGUGUAAGUAACUGUGCACAUCUUGGCGGUACCUAAUCAGAAAGCCACGGCUAACUACGUG